CAGGGAAUCUUCCGUAAUGGACGAAAGUCUGACGGAGCAACGCCGCGUGAGUGAUGAAGGUUUUCGGAUCGUAAAGCUCUGUUGUUAGGGAAGAACAAGUGCAAGAGUAACUGCUUGCACCUUGACGGUACCUAACCAGAAAGCCACGGCCAACUACGUG
rnacentral:rRNA from 1 species